rnacentral:rRNA from 1 species
GACGAAGGGGGCUAGCGUUGUUCGGAAUUACUGGGCGUAAAGCGAGUGUAGGUGGUUGUCAUAGUCAGGUGUGAAAGCCUUGAGCUCAACUCAAGAAAUGCACUUGAUACUGGGCGACUAGAGGACCGGAGAGGAUAGUGGAAUUCCCAGUGUAGUGGUGAAAUACGUAGAGAUUGGGAAGAACACCAGUGGCGAAGGCGGCUAUCUGGACGGUUUCUGACACUAAGACUCGAAAGCGUGGGGAG